GUGGCUAAUCUGCAUAUGCACAUUAGCUCUAUUACCUAUUAGCGGAUUAAAAAGCUUUAAAACAAAGAGGAAGUAGGAAAAGAACUACAUUUCCCAUCUGCCCUGGCUGUCACAGGCUAAUAGCACCAGCUGCUUUCCAUUGCCCUAAUGAGUGAUUCUACUGCUGCAACGAGACCAAAUGCAACGAAAGUAUUGAUGCUGCAAAAGAAGACGGAUCUUUUGGUAGGCUGGUUAAUGAUGACCACAAGCACCCAAAUGGCAGAAUGCAGAAGACUGAAGUGGAUGGAAGCCCACAUCUUGGUCUGUUUGCUUUAACAGACUUUAAAGAAGGUGAUGAAUUACCUGCAAUUACGGAGGAGGAGACUGGCCUUGGCGUAGCAAGGUAAAACAUCUACUCUGAAUAAGAGGAAGGCUCGGGAAGGAAAUGAGGUCCAUGCAGUGGAGAGACAUAUGAAGACCUUCAUCAUGUCAUGUCGUGUCCCAGGGAAGUUGGCCUGUGAAAACUGCAUUAGAUCUGAGUCUUUAUAUCUUAAAGAUAGAGACUGGCAAAGUGUCAAAUUCUACGUCUAUAACUGCACUGUAGCUUACAAAAGAGAUAUAAACAAAGAUUAAAUAACACUUUGAUAGUAACACUUUACAUCUAUAUUACAGAUACUGUACAUCAUAACAUCUGUAGUAAUGCUUUAAUAAUAAGUUACAUUACAUCUCUAGCCUUUUACUUUGUAAUGAACCGCUGAGCAUUUACUUCAUAAUAAACUAAUCAGGAACAAAUCAGGCAUUUAAAAUAUCCAUUAGGAUCUUUACCUACACCGUUAUAUUGAAUUAGAUCAAAUUGGUUUGGGCCGCCUUCUUCCAGUGGGUCCUUAUGCAGGUGACUGACAAGUUCAUGAGUAAGCCUAUUGGGCAAUAAAAGCUUCAGUGUGCUACCCAUUUACAUGUUUAGGCUGCCUGGAAUCAAAAUUAGCUACCUCAACAUACAUUAUUAAGUUGUUACUGUCACUUUUUAGCUUAGUCAGUUAAGUGGAUAUAGAAUAAAGAAAAAUAUUGUGUUUAUGACAUUUGGUUGUGUGUCUGUGUUUGGCUAGUAUCUUUAUUUUUCUCAAUAUGUUUAACUUUGAGCUGGCUAUAUGUAGUAAGCAGAAGUGUUAUGUCAAACUUAAAUGAGUCCAAGUUCAUUCACGGCACAUGUGAGCUUAGUAGUUGUGCACUGUCUUUUACAGUAAAGAAGCUCAAGACUCAAGUUGUCUUUAUAAUGUUGAAUAGACAGGGUUUUUUCAUCUGACUGACAAUUUUUCACUUGAUUAGAGAUCCAGACCAAUAAACAAAUCCUUCAUGUAGCUAAAAUAUCAAAAGGAUGAGUGUCUUUGUCAUUUUGACUUGCCAAAAUGACUGGGGAUAGUGUUAAUUUGUGAUGCAUGCCUGUGAUAAAUAAGUGAGGUUCAGUACAGCUAGCACCUCUACUUUCUAUUCCACAAAAAAAAUUGUAUACUUUAAAAUGAAACGCUUCUUAGAAUUAUAGCCUCAAAACUAAUAAUAGCACUGGUAACACCUUCCUUAACAAGUUCCUAGGUUUCUCAAAGGGUUCCUCUGUUGGAAAUAGAAAGCUCCAAAGAAAUGUAGUCUGUUAUCUAUUACGUGCAGAUAUUGAAAUUUGUGUAAGAGAGCUUUUUGAUAACCAAACUUUCACUGAUUGCAUAUUUCACAAAUAAGGCUAAGAGUCCUUAGUAUAAACAAUUAAGAACAACUGUUCAAUUUAAUUUCAUGAGAAGCUUAAACCUUCAAAUAGAGAAAAUACACAUCAUAUCUGCUUUACAAACAGCCCUCUAAAUUAGACAUACUUAGUUUGUAAUUUUGUAUAAAGAAUUAUAGAGUUAAAUUGACAACUUUGUUUUUUAAAACCAUGUCCCAUUGUUGUUAUAUAAACGACCUGAUCUGUGUGUAUGCAGAUUAACUAUCUAGUGAUGUCCCCUCUACAACAUGAAAACCAGCUAAUUUGCUGUGUAUGCAAAUUAGGUCCCCAUUAAUGAUGAGUUUAAUGUCCCAUUAAUGUCCACAUUAGGUGUGAAAAAACCAAGCACAGAAAUUUUGAGAUUUAAAUCCAGAAUUUGAGAUGAUAUGUGUUCUCAGGCUUAAAUUAUACAUGCCUGAUUCUUUUCAUAUCUGUAGGACCUCAGGAAAGUGGUGUCCCCACAAUACAUGGGUGGGACUACUGACCCCAGAAUGUUCUAAUUACAAGUGUGUGUGUGUGUGUGUGUGUGUGUGUGUGUGUGUGUGUGUGUGAGAGAGAGAGAGAGAGAGAGAGAGAGAGAGAGAGAGAGAGAGAGAGUGAGUGUUAAAGGUACCGGAGCAGUCUGGCUGUGCAGCUACAGUAAAUGUUAAUAAUAAUAAUAAUAAUAAUAAUAAUAAUAAUAGGACGUUAU